ensembl:lncRNA
UGAGGACCGAGCCGCUGUCUCUUCUUCUACUACGACACAACGAAACAAGGAAAAGGCAAAAAGUCGACAGCAUUAACAAGGUAUCGACGUUAUUUUUUCCGCUUGUAUGACUUAUUUGAAACGGUCGCCUUUUGCUGCUAAUACAAGUUACAAUACAAUAAUACACAAUUGCUAAUUAUGUUAAUUGGACUAAUGACCCAAGCUAACAGUCAAGGCAAGACGGUUUGAUAGUAGCUAAUUGACACAGACUUACCUAUCAAGCUAAUCGAGACGCUGGGUUGUUGGCAGUCAACGAAAGAGGCCACAUUUAAGUUUUUUUUUCCAUUUGAAGCAUCAAUGGUAAAAUACAAAAAACCCAAGGAGGCCGUGAUGACGUGUGACGUCAUCGAGAGGCACUAGCUACACUUGCUAACGUCACAUCAAACCUGACUGGAAAGAACAGCUUGGAGGUUUUACUGUGACUGUAACUGUACUUUUUGUUUAAUUCAUUUAAAACACAAUGAUAUAACGACGCACCUUGGACUUGGAAUAGAAUGCUAACAGCCGAAUAGACCUGUUGCUUUAGGACGCCAGAGUAAACAGGGUCUCUGGGUGCCCAGGGAGCUAAGACCAGUAUGUUACCUGCUCUUUACUCCUAACUCUUUGUUCAAAUACGCACAUCAGCUUGCAUGUUGUGAGUUCAUGUCUGCUUUUCCAGUUCCAGGUCGUGCGGAGGCCCAGAGUAGAGACCACAUCUCCACUGCAGCAGGCAUCGCUGCAGCCAGCUCGUCCCUCUGCAUGUUUGCAAACUGCAGAUCUGUGUCCGUUUCUGUGCAGUCGAACGCUCUGAACGCCGCAGCGCAGCUGCCAGCGUGUGAACCCAACGCGUCCUCUCUCGUGCCGCCGUCGGCCCCAAAGAUAGAGUCUGCCACCAAAGGAGAUGCAAUGCUCUGGUUAGGGUUAACACCAAAAUGGCUUCAACACCCCAGUUAAUGAAGAAGGGAGUGACGAAUCACGGUGAAUCUCAUCACUGUAAUUGCUUGUGUUUACAUGUAUAAUGUAAUGGGAGUAUUAUAAGCCAUUAAAUUCAAGUCUAAGUAUGUUAUCAUUUCAACCGCAGGAACUCGAGGCUUUUCACUUGCUGAGCCCUAAAGGUAUAGACAUGUUGCGACUGCUGGGUCUUAAUGCCGAUAAAGACGGGGCACACCCGUUACCUUGCUGCGCUUGUGUACUAAGAGCGUAAUGGUAUUAACAUAAGCCAUCUGCAAUCAGAUAUGAGCCUGCACGCUCAAAUGCUGUGUUGACGUGUGGGAUUAGUAAUCUCAUUUUUUACACUUCCUGGGAAAAGUAGUCAGCGUCACAUUUUACUAGCUGCUUUUAAAGAUGGUAAAAUUGACAUCGGGCGGUGAGUUUGUCGUCCUGGACGUUGUUGGAAAUAAUGGGAGUUAAUGUGGGGGUGACCUGGGGGUCGUGUGAGGGGGCACUGGCUUGAGACUGGCUUGAUUUCACCUCUCCGUCUGUAUUAAAGUGCCUUUGCUGCUGCACGGAGCGCGUGUGGUGGACGCAGGCCAUUAGCCGGCGGCUAAAAAAAGACUGUUAACAGUAAAACUGACAGCAGAGAGACAGAAAAAAGACAGCGGGCGUCACAGAGGAGGGGCUGAGAACUAGACAUGACACACGGGACACUUUUACAGUUUCACUUGUUAUGUUUGAGCACAAUCUGGUCACCAUCUAGUUUGUGGAAGGUGACGCUGUCACGGCUUGAUAAUCUUAUACAAGCAUUGAUAGACAGAUAAAAGUCAUUUGG